rnacentral:lncRNA from 1 species
GCAAAUCUGACAAUAUUUGGCAAACCUAUCAUUCCAAUCAAGACACAACUGGGACCUAAAAAUCUGCCUGCAGAACAGGAAACUAAAGCACCACAUAUAUGGAAGCUCAGAAGCAUUUCCUGUGGACAAUUGCUGGACCAGACUCCUCGUACUCACCCUUUGAAAUCCACAUCUGCAUAUUUAAGUGUGACAAGGUCAUGCAUCACGUAUAUCUGCAAAAAACUGAUAUCAUGGAACCAGGACUAGGAUAUACCUGUUGGAAAGUACUAAGUGAGGCAAGGAUGGAUCCUCCGAUCCAGACACUGUACUUGCGUUCAGGUGGGGCAACCACCUUAAUCUUCAUGCUGCUUGGGGC